rnacentral:rRNA from 1 species
UACAGAGGGGGCAAGCGUUGUUCGGAAUUACUGGGCGUAAAGGGCGCGUAGGCGGCCUUCUAAGUCAGACGUGAAAUCCCCGGGCUCAACCCGGGAACUGCGUCUGAGACUGAAAGGCUUGAAUCCGGGAGAGGGAUGUGGAAUUCCAGGUGUAGCGGUGAAAUGCGUAGAUAUCUGGAGGAACACCGGUGGCGAAGGCGGCAUCCUGGACCGGUAUUGACGCUGAGGCGCGAAAGCCAGGGGAGCAAACGGG